rnacentral:rRNA from 1 species
UACGUAGGGCGCAAGCGUUGUCCGGAAUUAUUGGGCGUAAAGAGCUCGUAGGCGGUCUGUCGCGUCUGCCGUGAAAACCCGGGGCUUAACCUUGGGCUUGCGGUGGAUACGGGCGGACUUGAGGUAGGUAGGGGAGAAUGGAAUUCCCGGUGUAGCGGUGAAAUGCGCAGAUAUCAGGAGGAACACCGGUGGCGAAGGCGGUUCUCUGGGCCUUACCUGACGCUGAGGAGCGAAAGCGUGGGGAGCGAACAGG